rnacentral:tRNA from 1 species
UGCAUCAGACGGGAAUCGAACCCGGGCCGCCCGCGUGGCUGGCGAGCAUUCUACCACUGAACCACCGAUGG